rnacentral:rRNA from 1 species
UACAGAGGGUGCGAGCGUUAAUCGGAUUUACUGGGCGUAAAGCGUGCGUAGGCGGCUUUUUAAGUCGGAUGUGAAAUCCCUGAGCUUAACUUAGGAAUUGCAUUCGAUACUGGAAAGCUAGAGUAUGGGAGAGGAUGGUAGAAUUCCAGGUGUAGCGGUGAAAUGCGUAGAGAUCUGGAGGAAUACCGAUGGCGAAGGCAGCCAUCUGGCCUAAUACUGACGCUGAGGUACGAAAGCAUGGGGGAGCAAACAGG